AGCCGGGAAGGAUGGAGGCACUGCGGGGAGGCAGCUCCGCCGGCGGUGGGAGGAAGGGUGAGGCCCGUAGGGCAUCCCCGGGCGGGAUGCGGUUACCUCCCGGGGAAAAGAGAACGCGAGGAAAGCGGAACCUCCGAGGAAGGUGGAGAGAGAGAGAGAGAGAGAGAUUGAGAGAGAGAGGGCUGCGGCUCCCGAGGAUGAAGAAAGGGCAGAGGGAGGCCGGGCCCGCGGGGAGGGAGAGAGGCUGCGGGUCCCCCCCAGGAGCAGUGAGCGGUACGCGGGGCCGGGCGCGGUGCAUCCGCGGGGCCGGCGGUGCUGAGCAUCGGGCGGGAGUCGCUCCCUCCUUUCCCUCUUCCCUUCUUUGCCACCGUCUCCUCCGCGUUCGUUCAUCCCGUCCGUUAACCCCAGAUCCGGGCUGCAUUCAAAGCAACCCAAGUUAUUAUUUAUUUGAAGCGGCAGGCUUUUCUAUUCUAUUCUUUUCUUUCUGUCUUUCUUUCUUUCUUUUUUUUUUUGCAGUCGUUUUGUUUGGCGAGCGUUAAACGCAUUCGUGGGUGGGGAUACGUCCUUUUAUGUCUCCUAAAUUACGGGUGCAAAUUCUAUUUGCUUUCAUUAUCACCGGCUUGGAUGUAUUAUUUUGACAGAGCUCGGGGUUAUUAAAAAUAACGCGGCCUUAAUCCUCGGCACCUGCAGAACGUCAUUUCGUUUGCGAACGAAACAGAUUUAAACUGGAAAGGGGCUCGAUCCCCAAAACAGGCUGUUCCUGCGUGGCUGUCUCGUAAUUCUGCUCCAAAUGGUGUUUCUAAGGGCCCGAUUCUGCCCACGGCACUGAUGCUCUGCCUGGGCUGCAGCCGCAGGGCCCCGCUGUCGCUGCAUGCUGGCAUUACGGAUCCCACUGCUAAUUCUUGCAUCUCUGUUUAUUCGUUUCCUCCCUCAUUCCCUCUCUAAAAGCCACAUGCCUGGAAGCCCCCGGAGAAGAGGAGGUUGCCCUUUUCCUGCUAGUGCUGUAGACUUCAGGGGUUGGUUGUUAUCUUUGGUUAUCUAGCUGUAUGAGUGGUGUCGAUUCUUCAUAAAGCUAGAUAACCGAAAGUAAAAAUAACCCCAUUACACGCCUGAGGAGGAUGUGGAGAAGAAAGGAAAUUCAUCGGGAGGAAGAGAAGGAAAACAAAAAGAAAAAUGAAAGAGAAAGAAAGAAAGAAGACGAAGGAAAGGAGAGGCGGAAAAAAGAAAGAACAGAGGGGAGGAAAAAAAAAAAAAAGACAACUUUUUGAGACUGGAAUUAAAAACCGAGUGCAGACAGUGGCUUCCCCUGCUGUGAUGCCCCACUCGUUUCCUGGGCAGCCAAGAGCAAUGCUUGAGUCCUGGUGGAAGUUCAUUCAGAAUUGCCUGGAGCGAAGGCUGGAGAGGAAAACCACAACCACAGCAGAGCCUGGACACGGGGAGCUGCUAGCAGGACCCAUCUCAGGGACAGUCACUGUGUGUACCUUCCUCCAUCCUCCUCCUGCUCCCAGCAGCUGAUGGCCUGGAGCAGCACAGAGCAAGCCUGGCAUCGGGCUAUAGGGACACCAGGAGCACCCCGGGGAUAGGACCCAACACCAUGCCACACUGGUGGAGAACACAAAGCUGGAAGAGGGGAAAAAAAAAAUCAACAGAAGAAGAAGAAAAGAAUGGAAACGAAAGUCUCCAAACUCAGGAGAUCUGUGUUAAUUGCUUACGAACGUCUCCAUCCCAAAAGUUAUCCGAUUGAUGUUGUCGUGCUUUUUUUUUGACAGCCUGUCUGUUAUGUAUUUUUUUUUAAAUAUUCAUGCACCGAAAUCUAAUUACUAGGCAAAUUUAAUGAUAAUGAAAUGAAGGCACUUUAGCAGAAAGCAUAGGGCCUUGUUAAUAUUUUCUCAGUCUCUGUCUUGCUCACAUUUUUUUUUCACCGCCGCCUUUCUUGCAGUAUAAAAGAAUUGCCAAAAAUAAAACUUGGAUUGCUGAA